UACGGGGGGGGCAAGCGUUGUUCGGAAUUACUGGGCGUAAAGAGCGUGUAGGCGGUCCGGUAAGUCAGCUGUGAAAGUCAAGGGCUCAACCCUUGAAUGCCGGUUGAUACUGUCGGGCUAGAGUCCGGAAGAGGCGAGUGGAAUUCCCGGUGUAGCGGUGAAAUGCGCAGAUAUCGGGAGGAACACCAAUGGCGAAGGCAGCUCGCUGGGACGGUACUGACGCUGAGACGCGAAAGCGUGGGGAGCAAACAGG
rnacentral:rRNA from 1 species